CCUACGGGUGGCAGCAGUGAGGAAUAUUGGUCAAUGGGCUCGCGCCUGAACCAGCCAAGUAGCGUGAAGGAUGACUGCCCUACGGGUUGUAAACUUCUUUUAUCAAGGAGUAAAGUGAGGCACGUGUGCCUUUUUGUAUGUAUUUUAUGAAUAAGGAUCGGCCAACUCCGGGCCAGCAGCCGCGGUAAUACGGAGGAUCCGAGCGUUUUCCGGAUUUAUUGGGUUUAAAGGGGGCGUAGAUGGGUUGUUAAGUCAGUUGUGAAAGUUUGCGGCUCAACCGUAAAAUUGCAAUUGAUACUGGCAGCCGUGAGUACAGUUGAGGUAGGCGGAAUUCGUGGUGUAGCGGUGAAAUGCUUAGAUAUCACGAAGAACUCCGAUUGCGAAGGCAGCCUACUAAACUGCCACUGACAUUGAUGCUCGAAAGUGUGGGUAUCAAACAGGAUUAGAUACCCGUGUAGUC
rnacentral:rRNA from 1 species